UACACGAUGUUUAUUGCAGCAAAACACGUGGAAGAUAAGCAGGGUCAGGCUGGGAGCCCGAGCAGCCUCGCUGUUAUUGCUGUGCGUGCUCGUUCUCGGUAUGUAGCAAAAGCAAGUGCACCUUUCUCCAGAAACAGUGCAGUGAAUUGUCCUUGGGCUUUUCUCAGCUCCUUCUGGGGUCGUAUUUCCAGUGAUGCCAAAGGUCGAUGAGUGCUUUAUUCUGACUUUAAUAGGGCUGGUGCAGUGGGCUGCCCGCAGUGGGCAAACCCAUUGUCUUAGCUUCAUCUCCAUCCACCUGAGCAUUGGGGGGGAAGGAGAAAACACCACGGGGACCUUUUAUUCUUUCAGCCAAGGUGUAGACGAUUAACUUGGAAUAAUGGGUGAGAAUGGGCAACGCACCACCUGGUGCAAACAGCAGGAUGCGUUUGCAGCCUGAUCAGCUCAACCGUGGCAUCCUCUCCCCAAAGACGCAAUGAACCUUAUGAUUUAUGACAUCAGAAGCAGCACAGGAGAAAGCAGUCCAUACAGGUGCUGCUGCAGCAUGAAAAAAAUGAGUGAAGAAAGGCAAUGCUGUUUAUGCUUCAAUGGGAUUUUCUGGAAUGAAGCCACUCUGGUCCUGAGAUGACCUUGUCUUUCUUAUCAAAUAAGAGUGCGGAAAGCAAAGCCUGAAAACGCGUGACCCCUGGAAGGCUUAGAUCAUAAACACUAGAAAGCAAAUGGCCUACAAGAGGGUGAGGUCAAGAGCAAAUGAAGCUCAUAAAGUUAACUGCCCGUGUUUCAAUACCUGGAAGGCAAAGAACAUUGCAAGGACUUAAUUAAAGAUGGGUCAAUCCACAGAUUCAGUGUCGAUGCUUUACCAUGUCAGAAGGUAUGCUUUCAGCCGGAGGAGGUGGUUCCUUGCUGCUGCAGGAUUUUCUCAAAGGGUGACAGAAAUUGGGACGCUUGGGUCCACAUCACUGAUGUCUUUCAUUGCUCAAGAAGUGGGAUGAGGAGCACAGGGCAAUUCCUUCCACUGGUCACAUUUUAGCCGACACUCCCCAGUCAGGCAGGCGUGUUCCCCACACGCGCUGUGUUCAGUCUUGAUUUCUAGUACUAGGUAAGAGUAAUAGUCAAAUAGCUGACUUUUCCCCUCCUUGGAGGACGGGAGGGUUUUGCUUUUCUCUGCUGUGCACCUCCCUAAUUUUGCAGGAGUUUUGAAAUGCAAGUAUCAGUCAAGUAGUAAGAGUUCACUAGCUGCCUGCUGUUCGUUGGGUCUUGAGUCUGCCUACAACACAGUAACAACCAUAAUCAGUGGUCACCAUCAAGGGUCUUCCUACGCCUAGUGGCCCCUCAGGCUAGCUUGGAUAAGGCACACCGCUUUCUGUAGCCAACAGCAAGCAAGAAAGCAAUGCAGGUAACAUCAUAUCCAGACACCUUUGACUCCUUGUCUUGAAUCACGAGGGGCACCACUUAUAGCUGGGUUGGCUAGGAGCAGCCUUUGGCAUGAAUCUGGAGUGGGGCUUGAACUCAUGUCUGUGGACCUGUAGCGACACACCUUGUUUCUGAUCCAUUUUUGAAUCAACAUAUUGUGGGAACAUUUGGGCAGCUCUCCCACCGUGUCUCAGCAGGAGAUAGUGUGCCCUGCAGAGAUGAAUGCCAAGCAGCACCGGCAGCAUGUAAGGCAGUGCUCUCUGGGACAUCCAAGGCACAGAGCGAGGAAGGCCAGCCAAAACCAUCUGACGCACAGUUGGGCGGGAGUGCUGUCCAGCCUGCAAAUUAGCUAUAGCGAACUGGUUAUCUGUUGAACCCAGUGCCUGCUGGGAGAAUCGCUUUUUGUUGCUGGAGGAGCUACAAGGGCUCCUUGCAGACAUCGGACGUGCUACUUACUGGCGGGGAGGGUAGGAGUCCUGGUGGGCCUUUGCCUUGAGUGCUGUCUGGACCUGGGAUGUGUUGGUCUGGCAUGGACAUGGAAGCUGAGGUCUCAAGCUGAGCCAUGCUCGCUCCCUGAGCUGCUGAAAUAGUGCAGUGCCGCUAGUCAAGCCUCACUUGCACCUCUUUAUGAGGACUCGACUCCUAGGGUUUGCUUUCUUGUUAAACAGAGAAGGGUCUGGCAGCAUCUGUAAAAUGUCACGGUGAUCGUGCUGUUGGAAAAACUGAGUGACCACUUCUGCAGUGGCUCGUGGCAUCGGGGAAGGGGACUCCUUUUGUCCAUAGUGCGAGACAGUUAACCCCCAAGACACCGCUUCGUGAGCAAGUCGCCUGCACUCUUUCAUAUCUGACAGUGCAUGCUGCUCCCCAAACAGACAAGCUUGUAACCAGCUCGGUGCAAGACUCAUUGCCCGGGGUGAAUGGCUUUCUCAGAGGCAUAUCCUGUAAAAUAGCUUAUUAUCUGAAAUAGCAGAUAAUGCACCGGCUUUGUGAGGCGGGGAUGAAAUUGGAAGGAGUGUUAAUGGCAGGUCAGCAGAGCCCAGAGUGAAAAGAAGGCUGUGGUUUGUAAAGAGUCCUGAGCGCCAGAAGCCAGGUUUCUAUUUGUUCCUGGCAAAGGGACGAGCUUUACAGUGCAGAGCACUCCUGGAGUACGCACGCUAGCUCUUGUGAAACUGCUGACACCCUGCCCUGCUGUUUAACUUCUGCAUUAAAAAAAAGAAUAAACUUGCUGUUUG